GACGAACGCUGGCGGCGUGCUUAACACAUGCAAGUCGAACGGAAAGGCCCUGCUUUUGUGGGGUGCUCGAGUGGCGAACGGGUGAGUAACACGUGAGUAACCUGCCCUUGACUUUGGGAUAACUUCAGGAAACUGGGGCUAAUACCGGAUAGGAGCUCCUGCUGCAUGGUGGGGGUCGGAAAGUUUCGGCGGUUGGGGCUGGACUCGCGGCUAAUCAGCUGGUUGGUGGGGUAGUGGCUUACCAAGGCUUUGACGGGUAGCCGGCCUGAGAGGGUGGCCGGCCUCCUUGGGACUGAGAGACGGCCCAGACUCCUACGGGAGGCAGCAGUGGGGAAUAUUGCACAAUGGGCGGACGCGUGAUGCAGAAGCGCCGCGUGCGUGAUGCCGGCCUUCGGGUUGUAAACCGCUUUCGCCUGUGACGAAGCGUGAGUGACGGUAAUGGGUAAAUAAGCACCGGCUAACUACGUG
rnacentral:rRNA from 1 species